rnacentral:lncRNA from 1 species
AAAAAAUGAAAAAGGAGGAAAGGGAAAGAAAAUGGGAGAAAAACAAAAUAAGAAGGGAAAUAAGAAAUUGAUGUUAAAAAAAUAUUUAUUAACUAACCACCAUCCUCAUACUAGCAUUUAGCAAAAAUUUUCUAAAGCAUACGAUAGGAUUCAAAAUCGGAACUAGACAAAAUAUAGACAAAUGCUUAACUAGUGAACCAACAAGC